rnacentral:rRNA from 1 species
AUUGAACGCUGGCGGCAGGCCUAACACAUGCAAGUCGAACGAGUGGCGGACGGGUGAGUAAUGUCUGGGAAACUGCCCGAUGGAGGGGGAUAACUACUGGAAACGGUAGCUAAUACCGCAUACCAUCGGAUGUGCCCAGAUGGGAUUAGCUAGUAGGGGGGGUAACGGCUCACCUAGGCGACGAUCCCUAGCUGGUCUGAGAGGAUGACCAGCCACACUGGAACGGAGACACGGUCCCGACGCCUACGGGGGGCAGCAGUGGGGAAUAUUGCACAAUGGGCGCAAGCCUGAUGCAGCCAUGCCGCGGGGUUGAAGAAGGCCUGCGGGUUGUAAAGUACUUUCAGCGAGGAGGCGUUACUCGAAGAAGAAGCACCGGCUAACUCCGUGCCAGCAGCCGCGGUAAUAC